GUUGUGUCUUCCAUACAGGCGGCUAUAGUGGUCCAGAUCCACCGUUCUGUCUACCAGCCCACUGAGCUGGCUCUUAUCAGCAGGGGAAUGGGGAAUCAGGAAAUGUCUCACAUCCCCCGAGCCUCCACCAACAACAGCUCCGUGGCCCACAGCGGGGCCAGUAUCCUGUCGGCACGCACCGACGAGACAGCAAACACACAGACGCAGCAGGGCCACAGUGGCAAUGGGCUGCAGAAGAUAUCCCAGUGGUGAACACAGACUACUUUACACCUCUCUCCUCAAUUCAUUUUUAUUGAUACAGUUUCCUCAUGUUGACUCUAUUUUGCUGUUGUCCAUUGCAUCCUUGAUAUGAGCUGGUUUUAACGGGACCCAUCACAACGAGGCCUACCUGAACUCUGACCUAUUAGCCUAUCAGACUCCAGAGGUGACGUUUAGGUGAACGACACAAACAGUUUGCCCUUUGUAAAACCCCUAAAGAUGGACAGUCCUGUGUACGACAUAACCCUCUAUCGAUAGAUUGACAGUGCCUACAGGUCUGUCUGUCCCUGUUCCAGUUCCUGCCCAUCUGUCUGUCUGACAGAAGUCAAAGCAACCCACAGAGUGGAGAGCAGGCCCAUGGCAUUGGGAGAGAACAAUACCUUUUGCAGAGGUCACCUCUGACUAUGAGCUGAGCUCUCCGCUGGACACACUGUGACAGAUGAAAUGUGAGCAUGCUAACACCACGGAAAACUAGUCUCACUCUCUCUUAGCAUGUGGGGGUGUAUUUAGGCUACAAAUAUAGAUAUAUAUACACACACACACACACACACACACACACACACACACACACACACACACAAACUCACAAUAGUCACAUACACAGUAGUCACGUGGAAGUGCAGCCAAGAUCAGGAUCAGUCAAGCGAGGGGGCAACUGGUGUGAUGGGAUAAACCUGUCAUCCCAGUGUUCUCAGAAGAGGACCCCUUAACAGUGGAACAUUCCAUACCUGGAACACCCUCUAUGGUUCCAUGGAAUCUUGGAAAAUGACUCUUCUGUCACGGGGGAUACCUACCUAACACUAAUGCACUCAGUUAUAGGUUUAGCAUACAGAAAGCUUGCACUUUCAAGCUUUCAAUUCAAGUAAGUGUCGAUAUUAUUAUGUCAAUGUUUAGUGCCUGGCUUGUGAAUGGGUCUCACUUUCAGAAAGUUAAAAUUGCUAUUUAAAUUUGUAGCUAAAGGUUGUUGAAUGACUUAAUGUUAAUGCCAUGCCAAUGAAUGGCUUCUCACUACAUAUGUAAGGAAGCACUUGUUGUAUGAAAUGUUGUAUGAAUUUGGAAAUUUGAUAUUUAAAACAUAGCUAUUUACAGUAAUUACUUUUCUUGUAAUCAGUUUUGAGCCAACACCUGUAAAUGCAAUAAUGAAUGUUCAAUCUAAUAUGAAGUUGUAAUGCAACAGUGAGUGAAUUGAUUGGUUGAACAUACAGCCAUUGAUGUCUGAAAGAAAAAUGAAAAUCUAAAUAAACAUUUAAUGAUGAAGUACA